GUCUUCUUGGCUCAGCCGGUAGAGCGUUGGUCUCAUAUGUUAAGUAUGACUGAAUUGUUAAACAAUUUGGUGAUCCAAAGGGUUUGUACCUCUUCAAAUAUAAUUCCAAAAAUAUAAUACUAACAUUAUCUCAGUCGUGAGUUCGAGCCUCACAGAGGACA
rfam:Phialocephala scopiformis strain CBS 120377 unplaced genomic scaffold LY89scaffold_22, whole genome shotgun sequence.